rnacentral:lncRNA from 10 species
AAAAGCACAAAGGACACUGCUGAGAACUGGCUGGAUCACACUGUCAGCCAAGAAAAGGAAGGACGAAUGAGGCUGAAGAGACUGCAGGGCUGCAGAUGAAAUAUCCAGACCUAUGCAUCCUCAUGUGGGAUGAGUGGGUUCCGGCAAAAUUUAAGAGGCUAAUGAUGGGAUGGAGGGGUUGGCAGCAGCACAGCAUAGCAGAAUUUUCUGAUUCACUACCACUGCUGGUGUUACAGCGUGAACGUGACCUGAAGACAAAAAGGCAUGGGUGAAUCCAACUAUGCAAGUUUUCUGGAUCAGUCCUAAACAGCUGGCUGAGCAGUGCUGGAAGGAGUCACACAAAAGCGGUGUAUUACACUACAAAUCCAUGUUCAUUAACUUCAAGUGGGGCCACACCACGGUUCAGCAAUCCUGCCACUUUUCACAGAUCUAAGUACAAAGUGGUUUCAAACUCUCCACCCUGCAACCCUCUGACCCACAGUACUCCUGUUUCAGCAAAUGAUUUUGUUUUCUCCUUCCGAAGGAAAAAGCAGCCUCCAGAUGUAACUCUUUCAUCUUCCUGCUACCAAAAAUAAAAACUUACCAACA